GCUUAAUACAUGCAAGUCGAACGAGUAGCAAUACUAGUGGCGCACGGGAGAGUAAUACAUGGAUAAUCUGCCCUCGAGUGGGGGAUAACUUGCCGAAAGGCGAGCUAAUACCGCAUAAGACCACAGGAUCUGCGGAUCUAGGGGUUAAAGGUUUUUCGCUCGAGGAUGAGUCCAUGCUCGAUUAGCUAGUUGGUAGGGUAAUGGCCUACCAAGGCUACGAUCGAUAGCUGAUCUGAGAGGAUGAUCAGCCUCACUGGAACUGAGACACGGUCCAGACUCCUACGGGAGGCAGCAGUAGGGAAUAUUGCACAAUGGGGGAAACCCUGAUGCAGCGACGCCGCGUGAGCGAUGAAGGCCUUCGGGUUGUAAAGCUCUGUUGUACGGGAAGAACACAAUGACGGUACCGUAUAAGAAAGGACCGGCUAACUUCGUGCCAGCAGCCGCGGUAAGACGAGGGGUCCUAGCGUUGUUCGGAAUCACUGGGCGUAAAGCGUAUGUAGGCGGCUUGAUAAGUCGGGUGUGAAAUCCCAUGGCUCAACCAUGGAACUGCACUCGAAACUGUUGAGCUUGAGUAUUGGAGGGGAUGACAGAAUUCCUGGUGUAGUGGUGAAAUACGUAGAUAUCAGGAGGAACACCGGUGGCGAAGGCGGUUAUCUGGCCAUAUACUGACGCUGAGAUACGAAAGUGCGGGGAUCAAACAGGAUUAGAUACCCUGGUAGUCCGCACCGUAAACGAUGGACACUUGGUGUUGGAGGUAUUGACCCCUUCAGUGCCGAAGCUAACGCGUUAAGUGUCCCGCCUGGGAAGUACGGUCGCAAGAUUAAAACUCAAAGAAAUUGACGGGGGCCCGCACAAGCGGUGGAGCAUGUGGUUUAAUUCGAUGCAACGCGAAAAACCUUACCUGGGCUCGAAAUGUUAUGGAAUACGAUAGAGAUAUCGUAGUUCUUCGGAACUGUAAUAUAGGUGCUGCAUGGCUGUCGUCAGCUCGUGUCGUGAGAUGUCGGGUUAAGUCCCAUAACGAGCGCAACCCCUGUCUUUAGUUGCCAGCAUUCAGUUGGGCACUCUAAAGAGACUGCCGACGUUAAGUCGGAGGAAGGUGGGGAUGACGUCAAGUCCUCAUGGCCUUUAUGUCCAGGGCUACACACGUGCUACAAUGGUCGGUACAAAGGGCUGCUACACAGCGAUGUGAUGCUAAUCUCUAAAAACCGAUCUCAGUUCGGAUUGAAGUCUGCAACUCGACUUCAUGAAGCUGGAUUCGCUAGUAAUCGCGCAUCAGCAAUGGCGCGGUGAAUACGUUCCCGGGCCUUGCACACACCGCCCGUCACA
rnacentral:rRNA from 1 species